UCCAAGUCGGCCUAUGGAUGAUCUAUAUUAGCUCUUAAUCUAAGCACGUAUUUGAUGAUUUUUGUUGGUAAAUCACAUCUACAUUUUUUUUUGAUGAUUUUUUUUUCCUGACUAUAUCAAGCAUUUAGGUUUUAUGGAAAACUUGAAAGGAAGACAAGUCGAAAAUUAGUCAUGCGAGCAGAUAAAAAAAUGUUUGUGAUUUUUUCAAAAAAAUAUUGAGCUAGUGAGGGCUCCCAAGAUGCCUUCUUGAGGCAGAGAGGCCAUGUCUUAGCCAACACCGCUAAAAUUUUCUUCUCAUUGCUUUCUUUCUGAAUUCAUGUUUUCAUGCAACUAUGAUGUGAUCUCACAGAUCUUCUUUUGGAAUAAAUUUCGAAAAUUUGUUUACAUCUAUGCUUUUAGUUGUAAAUUUGCGCAACCAAUAACCCAUCCCGAAGGCGGCGGUGGAGACGCCGCUGCUAAGCACGCCGAAGGAGAGAAAGCGAUGGGGGCCGAUACGGUCGCCGGCGUGGCCGGGGAGGUACAGGCCGGCGGAGUAGGAGGAGAGGAAGGUGAGGUCGAGUUCGCCUAGGCGGUGGGGACCGUGAAAGGCGGCCAGCCGGCAUCAGCGGCGGCAGCAAAGGAGUUGGUGGCGGCGACCUGAAGGCCGAGGACGGAUUUGACGAUGGAGGGGGGCUUGCGUGAGGCAUGGAAGGCGGCGUAAGCAAAGAAGGUAAGGAGGACAGAGAUUUGGUGGAAGAGGAGGUUACGCCGCCGCCGCCAUUGCCGGAUUCCCCUUCCACCACCACCACCACCACCACCACCUUAGGCGAGCCUUGCGGGCCUUGCCUCCCGAUCUUCCGCGCCGCAGGCCUGUGCGAAGGGGAAGUGGCGGUAGUGCACCGGACAUCAACCGGUUUACCCUUUUGUUUCCCAGUAUAGCCUUUAACAAUGGACGGCCAGGAUCAAGCACCAUAGCCAAACCCUUGGAUAAAACUUCGGUUCAGAAUCGGAGGGCAUCGCGACUUCGCGAUUUGGGAGGCGGGGCCUUCCUCUACCUCCACAGUGCCGGCGCGAAUGGCAGAAGACCGACGGUGGACGGCGGAGCGCCUGGCUGGAGCGGGAAGAGGGGAGGGUCGAGGAGGCUUCGCCAUGGCUAGUGAAUUGCUCCUGGUGGCUGAGAAGUCGAUGGAAGCUCCACUCUUUGAUGAAUUCCGAUAAAAGAGAAACAUUGUUAUAGUUGCUGUUUAUCGUUUAAACUUGAGUUAAGACUACCAAAAACAAACAAAUUCUCUUUUGAUUGGAGAAAUCUCGACCUCAUUUGAUCUUCUGGAGGCUUUUUUUUCAAUCCAAUCUGAUAGUAAUAUGAUCAAACUCUAUCAGAAAUCCUCAAUUGGAUGGAAGGCAUUGAUAAGAAUGUACAGCUCCAACAGCAAGAAUGCCCCAGAUGUCAUUGACCCCACCAAGAGGCUAUGCAAGAUCAUGAUGUCUUGCCCCAGUGUCAGCCUUGAGCGUGCCCUCGACGAGACCGGUAUUCGCAUCUCAACGGAGCUGGCUGAGGCAGUCAUCAAGCGGUUUGAGAAUGCGGGCAUGCUUGCAUACCGGUUCUUUGAGUGGACCCGCAAGCAGCGGGGCUUCUCCCACAGUGUCAGGGCCUACCACACCAUGAUUGGCUCCCUCGCCAAGAUCAGACAGUACCAGCUCAUGUGGGACCUUGUUGCUGCCAUGCGCCGCGAAGGCAUUCUGAAUAUCGAGACAUUCUGCGUGAUAAUGAGAAAGUAUGCACGGGCGAAGAAGUUUGAUGAAGCCAUCUACGCCUUCAAUGUCAUGGAUAAGUUCGGCGUGGUGCCGAAUUUGGCAGCAUUCAAUAGCCUUCUCAGUGCAUUCUGCAAAUCCAAGAAUGUGAGGAAGGCCCAGGAGAUAUUUGACAAAAUGAAUGACCAGUUUGCACCGGAUGCCAAGACUUACAGUAUCUUGCUUGAAGGGUGGGGGAGGGCCCCAAAUUUGCCCAAGAUGCGAGAGGUUUACCAAGAAAUGAUUGAUAAGGGCUGCAAGCCGGAUAUCAUCACGUAUGGGAUUAUGGUUGAUGCCCUUUGCAAGGCAGGCCGGGUGGAAGAGGCAGUUAGUGUUGUUAGGGACAUGAGAUUCAAUGGUUGCCCGCCAACAUCGUUUAUUUACAGUGUCUUGGUUCAUACUUAUGGAGUUGAGAGGAGAAUAGAGGAUGCGGUGGAUACAUUCUUGAAGAUGGAGAAGAAUGGUAUUAAGCCUGAUGUGGCAGUGUACAAUGCACUGAUCAGUGCAUUUUGUAGAGUAAAUAGAUUUGAGAAUGCUUUUAGAGUUCUGGGGGAUAUGGAGGAUAAGGGCAUUCCUCCCAAUUCGAGGACCUGCAAUAUUAUUCUGAGCAGCUUGAUAAGUCUUGGGAAGAAUGAUGAGGCAUAUAGGGUUUUCCGCCAGAUGAUUAAGCAUUGCGAGCCUGACUCAGAUACAUAUACGAUGAUGAUAAAAAUGUUCUGUGAGAAUGAUAGGUUGGAGAUGGCUUUGAAAGUGUGGAAAUACAUGGGCUCGAAGCAGUUUGUUCCAAGCAUGCACACCUUUUCUGUGCUUAUCAAUGGGUUGUGCGAGAAGGGCGAAGUGAAUCGGGCUAGUGUCAUGUUAGAAGAAAUGAUUGAAAAGGGUAUCAGACCGCCAGGUUCAACAUUCGGAAAGUUAAGACAAUUACUUUUGAAAGAAGGCAGAGAAGAUAUACUUGAAUUUCUGUUGGAGAAAAUGAAGAUUCUGGUUCAAGAACCUUUGUACGAUUGAGAGAUGAUAACAUUAUGUUCUAUAAUGAGUUUGUGUAUAUUUUUAUACUGAAGUGCUUGACGCUUUACCUGCAAAGGAAUCAGCUUGCAGUGUAUUACACAAGGUCUUCAGCUUCAUGAAAGUAUUAUGAUUCUCAAACACCAAAAGUUGUUUGCUGACCCAUCCCUAUGGCUCAUUUACUGGGUACUUAUCGAUUGGAUGCCUUGCCUCAACAAAAUACCAAAGUCAUCGAGCAGCGCAGGAGGUGACGACUUCGAGAGGAGUGGGAAGGGUUAUUUAACUUAGCUUUCUGUAGAUAUAUAAUAAUCUGAGGCACAUGGGUUUUACUGAAGCAAUAAUGAGGGAGCUAAGUAGGAUUAGGAAGUCUUCGAGUACAGAUUUUAUAACCUAUAUAAAUCCUCCUUUUCUUUCAGUGAAAUUUAUAUGAAUUUGUGUAAUGGAAAGGCACAGCUCUUGAGGAGCACUUGCUUGUAUUUUUUGGGCAAAAAGAGGCAACAAGCAAACUAGGAGAGAGUGGAGGGAGACUCUGAUGCAAAUAUUGAAGAAAAAUGGUUAUCGUGUAGGAUGGAGGUAUAAACACAGUUUAGUUCUGCUGGAUAUAAGUCAUGUCAGGUCUCGUGAUUCCAUACAAGGAGAAAAGCAGCAAAUUGUAAAUCUUCUAUAUACUUUGUGCCAUAAUGAAGCUGCAGUAAGAUUUGGAAACUUCAGAAUGGAGCAUAAUUUUCAGCAAACAUGCCUUGGCAUUGCCAAACAAAUAUUUGUGGACCAUGGUAAUGGUUAUGUAGAACAGUCCAAUAGGCCAGACUAGCAUCUGUGUUUAUGUGAUGACUUGAGGCAACUACUUUGGGAGGACUAAAAACUGAUGUAUCUAUCCAUGUCAUUGUAUGUCUUCUGCCUUUUGAUCAGUA